AGAGUUUGAUCCUGGCUCAGAUUGAACGCUGGCGGCAGGCCUAACACAUGCAAGUCGAACGGUAACAGGAAGCAGCUUGCUGCUUCGCUGACGAGUGGCGGACGGGUGAGUAAUGUCUGGGAAACUGCCUGAUGGAGGGGGAUAACUACUGGAAACGGUAGCUAAUACCGCAUAACGUCGCAAGACCAAAGAGGGGGACCUUAGGGCCUCUUGCCAUCGGAUGUGCCCAGAUGGGAUUAGCUAAUAGGUGGGGUAACGGCUCACCUAGGCGACGAUCCCUAGCUGGUCUGAGAGGAUGACCAGCCACACUGGAACUGAGACACGGUCCAGACUCCUACCGGGAGGCAGCAGUGGGGGAAUAUUGCACAAUGGGCGCAAGCCUGAUGCAGCCAUGCCGCGUGUAUGAAGAAGGCCUUCGGGUUGUAAGCACCUUUCAGCGGGGGAGGAAGGGACCGAAGAGUUAAUACCUUGCUCAUUGACGUUACCAACGCGAGAAGAAGCUUACCAGGCGCUAACAUCCGAUUGGCCAGCCGAGCCCGCGGUCACAUACGGAGGGUGCGAAGCCUUACAUUCGUGGUGGGGACCUUCAAUUACUGGAGCGUAAAAAGCGCUGCGCGAGGCGGUCCGUCUAAGUCAGAUGUGAAAUCCCCGUGGCUUCAACCUGGGAGCUGCAUCUGAUACUGGCGAAGCGUCUGAGUCUCGUAGAGGAGGGUAGAAUUCCAUCGUGUAGCGGUGAAAUGCGUAGAGAUCUGGGAGGAAUACCGGUGGCGAAUGGCGACCCCUUGUGACGAUAACGUGUACAGCUGCAGGCUGCGAAAGCGUGGGGAGCAAACAGGAUUAGAUACCCUGGUAGUCCGACGCCGUAAACUUUGAUGUCUUACAAUGGAGAGUAGUGCCCUUGCAGAGCGUUACUUCCCCCCAUCGGAUGUCUAACGCAGUUAAGUCCACCGCCUGGUUAGGAGCUUCAUCGGCCGCAUGGCCUUUUGUCCCUAAAACGUCAAAUGAAUUGACGGUGGCCUCCAUUGACACAUCAGCGGUGGAGCAUGUGGUUUAAUUCGACCGCGUAACGCGAUAGAACCUCUUAUACAAGUCUUUGACAUCCAGAGAACUUUCCAGAGAUAGGGUUGGUGCCUUCGGGAGCUCUUGUUUGACAGGUGCUGCAUGGCUGUCGUCAGGACAUCGUGUCCCGUGAGAUGUUGGGUUAAGUCCCGCAACGAGCGCAACCCUUGGCUUCUCUAGUUGCCGUAGCGAGUAAGGGUUUCAGGGAACUCGUAAGGAGACUGCCGGUGACCAAACCGGAGGAAGGUGGGGAUGACGUCAAGUCAUCAUGGCCCUUACGACCUGGGCUACACACGUGCUACAAUGGGCGGUACAAAGGGUUGCCAAACCGCGAGGUGGAGCUAAUCCCGUAAAACCGUUCGUAGUCCGGAUUGGAGUCUGCAACUCGACUCCAUGAAGUCGGAAUCGCUAGUAAUCGUAAAUCAGAACGUUACGGUGAAUACGUUCCCGGGCCUUGUACACACCGCCCGUCACACCAUGGGAGUGGGUUGCAAAAGAAGUAGCUAGUCUACCGCAAGGGGGACGGUUACCACUUUGUGAUUCAUGACUGGGGUGAAGUCGUAACAAGGUAACCGUA
rnacentral:rRNA from 1 species